rnacentral:rRNA from 1 species
GAUGGUUGUCCUGGGGUAAGCGUGUAGGGAGGGGGCGAUGAGAGUUGCCCUCGUAAUCCUGAGACGCGAUGCCGAGCCGUUUAAGGCGAAGUCACUGAUCCCAUGCCGCCAAGAAAAGCCCAGCAGUUAGUUGGCAUGGCGCCCGUACCCGAAACCGACACAGGUGGGCAGGUAGAGAAUACCAAGGCGAUCGGGAGAACUGUGGUUAAGGAACUCGGCAAAUUACCUCCGUAACUUCGGGAUAAGGAGGACCUCAUUAGUGUGAAAUCCCUCGCGGAUGGAGCAUGAGGAGGUGGCACAAAAGAGGGGGUAGCGACUGUUUACUAAAAACACAGCAGCGUGCGAAGCCCUAAGGCGAUGUAUACGCUGUGAGGCCUGCCCGGUGCUGGAAGGUUACGGGGAAGGGUUAGCCGCAAGGCGAAGCUCUGAACCUAAGCCCCAGUAAACGGCGGCCGUAACUAUAACGGUCCUAAGGUAGCGAAAUUCCUUGUCGGGUAAGUUCCGACUGCACGAAUGGCGUAACGACUUCCCCACUGUCUCAACCACAGACCCGGCGAAAUUGAAGUACGAGUAAAGAUGCUCGUUAGGUGCAGAAGGACGGAGAGACCCCGUGGACCUUUACUAUAACUUGGUGUUGAAUUUUGACCUUAGUUGUGCAGGAUAGGUGGGAGACUUGGAAGCGGUAGCGCUAGCUAUCGUGGAGUCAAUGUUGAGAUACCACUCUGCUAAUGUCGGGAUUCUAACCUCGAUCCAUUAUCUGGAUUAGGAACAGCGCCAGGCGGGUAGUUUGACUGGGGCGGUCGCCUCCUAAAAUGUAACGGAGGCGCCCAAAGGUUCCCCCAGGCUGGUUGGCAAUCAGCCGCUGAGUGCAAUGGCACAAGGGAGCUUGACUGCGAGACUGACAGGUCAAGCAGGUGCGAAAGCAGGGCAUAGUGACCCGGCCAUGGCUUGUGGAAGCGUGGUCGCUCAACGGAUAAAAGGUACCCCGGGGAUAACAGGCUAAUCUUGCUCAAGAGUCCAUAUCGACGGCAAGGUUUGGCACCUCGAUGUCGGCUCAUCGCAUCCUGGGGCUGAAGCAGGUCCCAAGGGUUGGGCUGUUCGCCCAUUAAAGCGGUACGCGAGCUGGGUUUAAAACGUCGUGAGACAGUUUGGUCCCUAUCCUCUGCACCCGGAGGAGUGUUGCGAGAAGCUGUCCUUAGUACGAGAGGACCGGGACGGACGCAGCUCUGGUGUGCCAGUUGUCGCGCCAGCGGCACGGCUGGUUGGCCACCUGCGGAAGGGAUAACCGCUGAAAGCAUCUAAGCGGGAAACCCGUCUCAAGAUACGCACUCCCAUGGGGUUAACCCAGUAAGGCCCGUGACUAGACCAUCACGUUGAUAGGCCGGAGGUGUAAGCACGGUGACGUGUUCAG